rnacentral:rRNA from 1 species
AGCAGUCGCCGCGGUAAAACGUAGGUCCCGAGCGUUGUCCGGAUUUAUUGGGCGUAAAGCGAGCGCAGGCGGUUAGAUAAGUCUGAAGUUAAAGGCUGUGGCUUAACCAUAGUACGCUUUGGAAACUGUUUAACUUGAGUGCAAGAGGGGAGAGUGGAAUUCCAUGUGUAGCGGUGAAAUGCGUAGAUAUAUGGAGGAACACCGGUGGCGAAAGCGGCUCUCUGGCUUGUAACUGACGCUGAGGCUCGAAAGCGUGGGGAGCAAACAGGAUUAGAUACCCCUGUAGUCCCUGUCUCUUAUACA